rnacentral:rRNA from 1 species
GGGACACGUGGUAUCCUGUCUGAAUAUGGGGGGACCAUCCUCCAAGGCUAAAUACUCCUGACUGACCGAUAGUGAACCAGUACCGUGAGGGAAAGGCGAAAAGAACCCCGGCGAGGGGAGUGAAAAAGAACCUGAAACCGUGUACGUACAAGCAGUGGGAGCCUCUUAAUGGGGUGACUGCGUACCUUUUGUAUAAUGGGUCAGCGACUUAUAUUCUGUAGCAAGGUUAACCGAAUAGGGGAGCCGAAGGGAAACCGAGUCUUAACUGGGCGUUAAGUUGCAGGGUAUAGACCCGAAACCCGGUGAUCUAGCCAUGGGCAGGUUGAAGGUUGGGUAACACUAACUGGAGGACCGAACCGACUAAUGUUGAAAAAUUAGCGGAUGACUUGUGGCUGGGGGUGAAAGGCCAAUCAAACCGGGAGAUAGCUGGUUCUCCCCGAAAGCUAUUUAGGUAGCGCCUCGUGAAUUCAUCUCCGGGGGUAGAGCACUGUUUCGGCAAGGGGGUCAUCCCGACUUACCAACCCGAUGCAAACUGCGAAUACCGGAGAAUGUUAUCACGGGAGACACACGGCGGGUGCUAACGUCCGUCGUGAAGAGGGAAACAACCCAGACCGCCAGCUAAGGUCCCAAAGUCAUGGUUAAGUGGGAAACGAUGUGGGAAGGCCCAGACAGCCAGGAUGUUGGCUUAGAAGCAGCCAUCAUUUAAAGAAAGCGUAAUAGCUCACUGGUCGAGUCGGCCUGCGCGGAAGAUGUAACGGGGCUAAACCAUGCACCGAAGCUGCGGCAGCGACACUAUGUGUUGUUGGGUAGGGGAGCGUUCUGUAAGCCUGUGAAGGUGGCCUGUGAGGGUUGCUGGAGGUAUCAGAAGUGCGAAUGCUGACAUAAGUAACGAUAAAGCGGGUGAAAAGCCCGCUCGCCGGAAGACCAAGGGUUCCUGUCCAACGUUAAUCGGGGCAGGGUGAGUCGACCCCUAAGGCGAGGCCGAAAGGCGUAGUCGAUGGGAAACAGGUUAAUAUUCCUGUACUUGGUGUUACUGCGAAGGGGGGACGGAGAAGGCUAUGUUGGCCGGGCGACGGUUGUCCCGGUUUAAGCGUGUAGGCUGGUUUUCCAGGCAAAUCCGGAAAACCAAGGCUGAGGCGUGAUGACGAGGCACUACGGUGCUGAAGCGACAAAUGCCCUGCUUCCAGGAAAAGCCUCUAAGCAUCAGGUAACAUCAAAUCGUACCCCAAACCGACACAGGUGGUCAGGUAGAGAAUACCAAGGCGCUUGAGAGAACUCGGGUGAAGGAACUAGGCAAAAUGGUGCCGUAACUUCGGGAGAAGGCACGCUGAUAUGUAGGUGAAGCGACUUGCUCGUGGAGCUGAAAUCAGUCGAAGAUACCAGCUGGCUGCAACUGUUUAUUAAAAACACAGCACUGUGCAAACACGAAAGUGGACGUAUACGGUGUGACGCCUGCCCGGUGCCGGAAGGUUAAUUGAUGGGGUUAGCGGUAACGCGAAGCUCUUGAUCGAAGCCCCGGUAAACGGCGGCCGUAACUAUAACGGUCCUAAGGUAGCGAAAUUCCUUGUCGGGUAAGUUCCGACCUGCACGAAUGGCGUAAUGAUGGCCAGGCUGUCUCCACCCGAGACUCAGUGAAAUUGAACUCGCUGUGAAGAUGCAGUGUACCCGCGGCAAGACGGAAAGACCCCGUGAACCUUUACUAUAGCUUGACACUGAACAUUGAGCCUUGAUGUGUAGGAUAGGUGGGAGGCUUUGAAGUGUGGACGCCAGUCUGCAUGGAGCCGACCUUGAAAUACCACCCUUUAAUGUUUGAUGUUCUAACGUUGGCCCGUAAUCCGGGUUGCGGACAGUGUCUGGUGGGUAGUUUGACUGGGGCGGUCUCCUCCUAAAGAGUAACGGAGGAGCACGAAGGUUGGCUAAUCCUGGUCGGACAUCAGGAGGUUAGUGCAAUGGCAUAAGCCAGCUUGACUGCGAGCGUGACGGCGCGAGCAGGUGCGAAAGCAGGUCAUAGUGAUCCGGUGGUUCUGAAUGGAAGGGCCAUCGCUCAACGGAUAAAAGGUACUCCGGGGAUAACAGGCUGAUACCGCCCAAGAGUUCAUAUCGACGGCGGUGUUUGGCACCUCGAUGUCGGCUCAUCACAUCCUGGGGCUGAAGUAGGUCCCAAGGGUAUGGCUGUUCGCCAUUUAAAGUGGUACGCGAGCUGGGUUUAGAACGUCGUGAGACAGUUCGGUCCCUAUCUGCCGUGGGCGCUGGAGAACUGAGGGGGGCUGCUCCUAGUACGAGAGGACCGGAGUGGACGCAUCACUGGUGUUCGGGUUGUCAUGCCAAUGGCACUGCCCGGUAGCUAAAUGCGGAAGAGAUAAGUGCUGAAAGCAUCUAAGCACGAAACUUGCCCCGAGAUGAGUUCUCCCUGACUCCUUGAGAGUCCUGAAGGAACGUUGAAGACGACGACGUUGAU